rnacentral:rRNA from 1 species
AAACCAAAGAAGUUAUAAUAACAAAACUACUCGCCAGAGAACUACUAGCCAAAGCUUAAAACUCAAAGGACUUGGCGGUACCUUAUACCCACCUAGAGGAGCCUGUUCUACAAUCGAUACUCCCCGUUAAACCUCACCAGUUCUUGCUAACUCAGUCUAUAUACCGCCAUCUUCAGCAAACCCUAAAAAGGCACUACAGUAAGCACAAACAUACAACAUAAAAACGUUAGGUCAAGGUGUAACUUAUGGACUGGGAAGAAAUGGGCUACAUUUCCUAUUGAAGGCUACCAGAUACUUAACCCACGAAAAUUACCGUGAAAUCGGUAAUUGAAGGAGGAUUUAGUAUAAAUUAAGAAUAGAGAGCUUAUUGAAUAAGGCUAU